AUGGGAUCCGCAAGGCAAGUCUCCCUCACUUGCAAGCCACUGCAACUUUUUCAAAUCCACCCCUCUACAAAGCCAAGCUUCACUCUUCCCCCGUCUUCGUCGCCACUUCAAUUCUUCAACGCCUCCAGCCGGCCGCGAUCGCCCAAAUCCCGCCGGCCACAGAUCCCGAUGCCCGCCGCCGUGGCCGCCGCGGCGGCGGUCGCAGCCUCGGGCGGCGCGCUCCUAGUAUACCUGCUCAUCACCACCUGCCGGCCGCCGGGCGCCGAGGGGCCGGCGUCGCCGGGGGAGGAGGCGCCGCUGCUGACGUCGCGGCCUGAGGACGGCGAGGGGCCGUGGCCGCACAGCCCUCCGGUCUCGUGCUGCGAGGCCGCUGCGGUGGCCGCGCGCACGGCGCGCCGCGCGUGGGAGCUCACCGUCGGCCGGUGGGGCCUCCACGGCCUCGCCUUCGGGAUCAAGCGCCACAUGAAGCGCCAGGGUAAUUUGCAGCAUGAGUAUCGUGGAAGUGACUGCCUUCAACUAAAAGGUCACGAUGCACAUACUGAAGUAGCUUAUCUUCUUGAGCACUUGAAGCUUUGCAUGUUCUACUCAAAGAAUAGGUUUUCUGAAUUUCUCAAGUUUGGUGGGUACAGUCAAGAGGACGUUCUCAUCCACAAGUCUAGGGCGAGGCUUAUGCAGCCUUCCUUCGUACUUGUGCGUGACCAAAAAGCCAAGUGUUUUCUGCUUUUCAUCCGUGGUGCUAUCAGUCCUAGGGAGCGCCUGACAGCAGCAAGUUCUGUAGAAGUUCCUUUCCACCAUAUAGUUCUGAAUGAAGGACAGAUUGACAAUGUAAUCUUAGGGUAUGCACAUUGUGGAAUGCUUGCUGCAGCUCGCUGGAUCUCUAACCUUGUCAUGCCCCCUCUGCGCAAUGCAGUACGAGAAUUUCCUGACUACCAAAUAAAGGUCAUCGGGCACUCAAUGGGAGCAGGUAUUGGGGCAAUUCUGACAUAUAUUCUUCGUGAGCAUUAUGAUUUUACAUCAUGCACGUGUCUAGCCUUUGGUCCUGCUGCCUGUAUGACAUGGGAGCUGGCAGAAUCAGGGAAAGAUUUUAUCACUUCUCUUGUCAACAGAGAUGAUGUGGUGCCAGCACUUUCGAAAGUUGCUAUGGAGAGCUUGCGAUCUGAGGUAAUGGUAUCAUCAAAGCUGGAUGAUCCGCAGGAUGAAGCUCACCUUGGUUUAUUCGCGAAAAUAAGUCAGCGUGUAGCUUUUGCAAAGUCUCACAUGCUGUCCAUCUCUCAUUCAACGGGAAAGACUGCAGAUCCUGACUCUAGCAUUUCUGAGCCUUUACUGAAAGAAGCAGUAGAAAUCACACAGCCUGAAGAAAAUGGGCUGAAAAUUGACUGUAUCCAUGAAGCAUAUUUCGUGGCAAAUCCAGAACAGGACCUUUCAGCCGUAUCUGUCGAUGCUUCUGCAGAACGGGUCAUACUAGUUAACAAUGAUGGUGAUGUCAGUGUCAAGUCUGCUGCUGGGUCGGCAGUAUCUGCAUCACAAGGGGAUGUUGAAAGCAAUGCAACAUUGGACAGCGAGCAAGCGUCGUCGACAGCAAAGGAAGAAGCGUCCCAGAAUCUGAACGGUAGCGGUAAAGAAAAACAGAAAGAAUCUCCCUCCGCCCCCGCACUGCGCCAACUUUUCCCUCCCGGGAGAAUUAUUCAUAUGGUCGCGCAGCCCUCACCGGACCCGAAUCCUGGAGAAGGCACCAGCAGCAAGGAGGCCAUCAGUAUAUAUGAAACGCCAAGAGAUUUGUAUGGCAGAAUAAGGCUCGCGCCAAAUAUGAUAGACGAGCAUUACAUGCCUAGUUACAUAAGUACAAUGGAGUUAUUGUUGGAACAGCUUCAGAGCGAUAACAUUGUAAGUAGAGCAUCAGACGAUUUGUGA
rnacentral:rRNA from 1 species